rnacentral:rRNA from 1 species
AUGAACGCUGGCGGCGUGCCUAAUACAUGCACGUCGAGCGAACAGACGAGGAGCUUGCUCCUCUGACGUUAGCGGCGGACGGGUGAGUAACACGUGGAUAACCUACCUAUAAGACUGGGAUAACUUCGGGAAACCGGAACUAAUACCGGAUAAUAUAUUGAACCGCAUGGUUCAAUAGUGAAAGACGGUUUUGCUGUCACUUAUAGAUGGAUCCGCGCCGCAUUAGCUAGUUGGUAAGGUAACGGCUUACCAAGGCAACGAUGCGUAGCCGACCUGAGAGGGUGAUCGGCCACACUGGAACUGAGACACGGUCCAGACUCCUACGGGAGGCAGCAGUAGGGAAUCUUCCGCAAUGGGCGAAAGCCUGACGGAGCAACGCCGCGUGAGUGAUGAAGGUCUUCGGAUCGUAAAACUCUGUUAUUAGGGAAGAACAAAUGUGUAAGUAACUAUGCACGUCUUGACGGUACCUAAUCAGAAAGCCACGGCUAACUACGUG